AGUGAACGCUGGCGGUAGGCCUAACACAUGCAAGUCGAACGGCAGCACAGUAAGAGCUUGCUCUUACGGGUGGCGAGUGGCGGACGGGUGAGGAAUAAAUCGGAAUCUACUUUUUCGUGGGGGAUAACGUAGGGAAACUUACGCUAAUACCGCAUACGACCUACGGGUGAAAGCAGGGGAUCUUCGGACCUUGCGCGAUUGAAUGAGCCGAUGUCGGAUUAGCUAGUUGGCGGGGUAAAGGCCCACCAAGGCGACGAUCCGUAGCUGGUCUGAGAGGAUGAUCGGCCACACUGGAACUGGAACACGGUCCAGGCGCCUACGGGAGGCAGCAGUGGGGAAUAUUGGACAGUAGGCGCAAGCCUGAUCCAGCCAUACCGCGUGGGUGAAGGAGGCCUUCGGGUUGUAAAGCCCUUUUGUUGGGAAAGAAAAGCAGCAGGUUAAUACCCCGCUGUUCUGACGGUACCCAAAGAAUAAGCACCGGCUAACUUCGUG
rnacentral:rRNA from 1 species